AUUGAACGCUGGCGGAAUGCUUUACACAUGCAAGUCGAGCGGCAGCACGGGGGCAACCCUGGUGGCGAGCGGCGAACGGGUGAGUAAUACAUCGGAACAUGCCCAGUCGUGGGGGAUAACACUUCGAAAGAAGUGCUAAUACCGCAUACGUCCUGAGGGAGAAAGCGGGGGAUCUUCGGACCUCGCGCGAUUGGAGUGGCCGAUGUCAGAUUAGCUAGUUGGUGGGGUAAAGGCCUACCAAGGCAACGAUCUGUAGCUGGUUUGAGAGGAUGAUCAGCCAGACUGGAAAGGAGACACGGUCCAGACGCCGACGGGAGGCAGCAGUGGGGAAUAUUGGACAAUGGGCGCAAGCCUGAUCCAGCCAUGCCGCGUGUGUGAAGAAGGCCUUCGGGUUGUAAAGCACUUUCAGUAGGGAGGAAGGAUGUUGUGUUAAUAGCACAGCAUUUUGACGUUACCUACAGAAGAAGCACCGGCUAACUCUGUGCCAGCCGCCGCGGUAAAAC
rnacentral:rRNA from 1 species